AUUGUUUUAUGGGGUUGUUUUCUUGUUAGUUUAUUUCCUAGUUGUGAGUUGAGUUCACUGAGUUGAGUCCAGUGGUCCGAGCUCAAUUCUUUCAAGUAGUCAGAGGCGGGAAUCAGACUUAUAACAAGGAGAGGUGGUUUGAACUGUUACUUACUUGUUUGAUUCUUUUUCUUUUACUGAGAUAUAGUAAAGUCAUACUGGUAGGCAGUAAAGUCAGACUUAAGAAAAGGAAAGUCAUACCGAUAGCCUGUAAAGCAAGAUUUGAGAGAAGCUGUGCGCGGAGUAAAGUAAGGCUAAAGAAAGUAUAGUAAGGAAUCGAGUCAGGAUCCGAAUCAGUAGAUACAGAAGAGUUGUAUUGGGUUGAAGAGCGAAAGCAAGGACAGUCAGAAUAGGAGUUCAGGGAGGCAGGCCAACAAUCGAACUACAGAGGUGCUCUAGUUCAGGGCAGAGCAGAGGUUUUCAAUGAAAAAUCAUAAUUAUAGUCAUAGUUCGGGAAGCAGAGGAAUCAUACUCAUAAGUCAGCAUAAGUAAAAGAAAAAACAACCCCCAAAUAACGGCUAGGGCUACUAAUACCAAUAUAUGGAUGGAACACUGCACUAUAGGCUACAAAUAAUGCUUUUCAGAAUGGAGCCGGUGCUUCUCAUUACUUACCUAGUUAUCCGGAUCUCUGCUUUCCAACUUCCCCUACUGAACUCAGUGCCUAUACCUUAGCUUCAUAUUCUUAUUAGGUAGUAUAGCUCAUUCCGAGUCUCCUGCACUCGAGUGUGUUACUGCUCAGUAGAGUGACUUAUUCGUAUGUUGGUCCCUCAGUCUUCUACUCGUUACUUGAAUUCUAUGUCCCC
rnacentral:lncRNA from 1 species